CAGGAUGAACGCUGGCGGCGUGCCUAAUACAUGCAAGUCGAGCGAACAGAUGAGAAGCUUGCUUCUCUGAUGUUAGCGGCGGACGGGUGAGUAACACGUGGGUAACCUACCUAUAAGACUGGGAUAACUCCGGGAAACCGGGGCUAAUACCGGAUAAUAUUUUGAACCGCAUGGUUCAAUAGUGAAAGACGGUUUCGGCUGUCACUUAUAGAUGGACCCGCGCCGUAUUAGCUAGUUGGUAAGGUAACGGCUUACCAAGGCGACGAUACGUAGCCGACCUGAGAGGGUGAUCGGCCACACUGGAACUGAGACACGGUCCAGACUCCUACGGGAGGCAGCAGUAGGGAAUCUUCCGCAAUGGGCGAAAGCCUGACGGAGCAACGCCGCGUGAGUGAUGAAGGUCUUCGGAUCGUAAAACUCUGUUGUUAGGGAAGAACAAAUUUGUUAGUAACUGAACAAGUCUUGACGGUACCUAACCAGAAAGCCACGGCUAACUACGUGCCAGCAGCCGCGGUAAUACGUAGGUGGCAAGCGUUAUCCGGAAUUAUUGGGCGUAAAGCGCGCGUAGGCGGUUUCUUAAGUCUGAUGUGAAAGCCCACGGCUCAACCGUGGAGGGUCAUUGGAAACUGGGAAACUUGAGUGCAGAAGAGGAGAGUGGAAUUCCAUGUGUAGCGGUGAAAUGCGCAGAGAUAUGGAGGAACACCAGUGGCGAAGGCGGCUCUCUGGUCUGUAACUGACGCUGAUGUGCGAAAGCGUGGGGAUCAAACAGGAUUAGAUACCCUGGUAGUCCACGCCGUAAACGAUGAGUGCUAAGUGUUAGGGGGUUUCCGCCCCUUAGUGCUGCAGCUAACGCAUUAAGCACUCCGCCUGGGGAGUACGACCGCAAGGUUGAAACUCAAAGGAAUUGACGGGGACCCGCACAAGCGGUGGAGCAUGUGGUUUAAUUCGAAGCAACGCGAAGAACCUUACCAAAUCUUGACAUCCUUUGACCGCUCUAGAGAUAGAGUCUUCCCCUUCGGGGGACAAAGUGACAGGUGGUGCAUGGUUGUCGUCAGCUCGUGUCGUGAGAUGUUGGGUUAAGUCCCGCAACGAGCGCAACCCUUAAGCUUAGUUGCCAUCAUUAAGUUGGGCACUCUAGGUUGACUGCCGGUGACAAACCGGAGGAAGGUGGGGAUGACGUCAAAUCAUCAUGCCCCUUAUGAUUUGGGCUACACACGUGCUACAAUGGAUAAUACAAAGGGCAGCGAAUCCGCGAGGCCAAGCAAAUCCCAUAAAAUUAUUCUCAGUUCGGAUUGUAGUCUGCAACUCGACUACAUGAAGCUGGAAUCGCUAGUAAUCGUAGAUCAGCAUGCUACGGUGAAUACGUUCCCCGGGUCUUGUACACACCGCCCGUCACACCACGGAGAGUUUGUAACACCCGAAGCCGGUGGAGUAACCUUUUAGGAGCUAGCCGUCGAAGGUGGGACAAUGAUUGG
rnacentral:rRNA from 2 species